rnacentral:rRNA from 1 species
AUGAAUGGACGGUUAGGCGAUAUUGGUCUUGCAAGGAUAUAUGACCAUGAAACCGUCGCUAAAGCUGCCCACGUGUCUGGCACAAUUGGAUAUCUCGCACCAGAACUCGUGCGCACAGGGAAACCAACACCCUUCACCCAUGUAUACGCAUUUGGCAUGUUUCUCCUGGAGGUCACAUGUGGACGUAGGCCAAUCUUCACCAGCGAGCAAAAAAAUCAGGUAUUACUGGUAGAGUGGGUGCUUGAGCACCACCAAAAUGGCUCAAUCCUUGACAUGGCAGAUCCACGACUCCAAGGGGAAUUCAAUAGGGGGGAGGUAACCAUCGUGCUCAAACUAGGUUUGCUAUGCACAUACCCAUUGCCUAAUGUGCGGCCUAUUAUGCCGAAGGUCAUGCACUACCUCGACCAUGGUCAGUCGCCACCUGAAUUAUCUCCGGCCUACAUAAGCUACAUGGACCUAGUGCAAAACGAAGGGUCGAAUUCAAACAACAUGAAUACACCAGAGUUUGAGACCAAAAUGAGCGUUGCCGCUAUAUCCUCAACGACAAUUUUGCAAGACGGAAGAUGA